rnacentral:rRNA from 1 species
AUAGCUUUAGGGCUAGCCUCAAGGUGAGAGAUACGGAGGUAGAGCACUGAAUGUCCUAGGGGGUAUUGCACCUACCGAAGACUAUCAAACUCCGAAUGCCGUCAUCUUAUACUUGGGAGUCAGACUGUGGGUGAUAAGAUUCAUAGUCGAAAGGGCAACAGCCCAGAUCGUCAGCUAAGGUCCCUAAAUGUAAGUUAAGUGGUAAAGGAUGUGGGAUUGCACAGACAACCAGGAUGUUGGCUUAGAAGCAGCCACUCAUUCAAAGAGUGCGUAAUAGCUCACUGGUCGAGUGAUCCUGCGCCGAAGAUUUCCGGGGCUAAAACUUACUACCGAAGCUACGGCAUCAGUAAUGAUGGGUAGGGGGGCUUCCCAUACGGGUUGAAGCAUGACCGUAAGGACAUGUGGACAGUAUGGGAGUGAGAAUGUUGGCAUGAGUAGCGAGAUGUGGGUGGGAAUCCCACAGGCCGUAAACCCCAGGUUUCCAGGGGAAG